rnacentral:rRNA from 2 species
UUGAAGAGUUUGAUCAUGGCUCAGAUUGAACGCUGGCGGCAGGCCUAACACAUGCAAGUCGAACGGUAACAGGAAGCAGCUUGCUGCUUUGCUGACGAGUGGCGGACGGGUGAGUAAUGUCUGGGAAACUGCCUGAUGGAGGGGGAUAACUACUGGAAACGGUAGCUAAUACCGCAUAACGUCGCAAGACCAAAGAGGGGGACCUUCGGGCCUCUUGCCAUCGGAUGUGCCCAGAUGGGAUUAGCUAGUAGGUGGGGUAACGGCUCACCUAGGCGACGAUCCCUAGCUGGUCUGAGAGGAUGACCAGCCACACUGGAACUGAGACACGGUCCAGACUCCUACGGGAGGCAGCAGUGGGGAAUAUUGCACAAUGGGCGCAAGCCUGAUGCAGCCAUGCCGCGUGUAUGAAGAAGGCCUUCGGGUUGUAAAGUACUUUCAGCGGGGAGGAAGGCGAUAAGGUUAAUAACCUUGUCGAUUGACGUUACCCGCAGAAGAAGCACCGGCUAACUCCGUGCCAGCAGCCGCGGUAAUACGGAGGGUGCAAGCGUUAAUCGGAAUUACUGGGCGUAAAGCGCACGCAGGCGGUCUGUCAAGUCGGAUGUGAAAUCCCCGGGCUCAACCUGGGAACUGCAUUCGAAACUGGCAGGCUAGAGUCUUGUAGAGGGGGGUAGAAUUCCAGGUGUAGCGGUGAAAUGCGUAGAGAUCUGGAGGAAUACCGGUGGCGAAGGCGGCCCCCUGGACAAAGACUGACGCUCAGGUGCGAAAGCGUGGGGAGCAAACAGGAUUAGAUACCCUGGUAGUCCACGCCGUAAACGAUGUCGACUUGGAGGUUGUGCCCUUGAGGCGUGGCUUCCGGAGCUAACGCGUUAAGUCGACCGCCUGGGGAGUACGGCCGCAAGGUUAAAACUCAAAUGAAUUGACGGGGGCCCGCACAAGCGGUGGAGCAUGUGGUUUAAUUCGAUGCAACGCGAAGAACCUUACCUACUCUUGACAUCCAGAGAACUUUCCAGAGAUGGAUUGGUGCCUUCGGGAACUCUGAGACAGGUGCUGCAUGGCUGUCGUCAGCUCGUGUUGUGAAAUGUUGGGUUAAGUCCCGCAACGAGCGCAACCCUUAUCCUUUGUUGCCAGCGGUUAGGCCGGGAACUCAAAGGAGACUGCCAGUGAUAAACUGGAGGAAGGUGGGGAUGACGUCAAGUCAUCAUGGCCCUUACGAGUAGGGCUACACACGUGCUACAAUGGCGCAUACAAAGAGAAGCGACCUCGCGAGAGCAAGCGGACCUCAUAAAGUGCGUCGUAGUCCGGAUUGGAGUCUGCAACUCGACUCCAUGAAGUCGGAAUCGCUAGUAAUCGUGGAUCAGAAUGCCACGGUGAAUACGUUCCCGGGCCUUGUACACACCGCCCGUCACACCAUGGGAGUGGGUUGCAAAAGAAGUAGGUAGCUUAACCUUCGGGAGGGCGCUUACCACUUUGUGAUUCAUGACUGGGGUGAAGUCGUAACAAGGUAACCGUAGGGGAACCUGCGGUUGGAUCACCUCCUU